ACAGUGAGAUGAAUAGGAGUGCCACUGUUCUCUUGCUGUGCGUUGUCUUUCCUUCUCACUCAAGCCUGUGAAAUCUCUCUUUCAGGUUGACAGACUAAUGGAGUUGCAUUUUAAAUAUCUGGGUGCAAUGCAGGUGGCGGACAAGAAGAUUGAAGGGGAAAAACACGACAUGGUCCGGCGAGGAGAGAUCAUCGACAAUGACACCGAGGAGGAGUUCUACCUCCGGCGCCUGGAUGCGGGGCUCUUUGUUCUCCAGCACAUCUGCUACAUCAUGGCCGAGAUCUGCAAUGCCAAUGUCCCCCAGAUUCGCCAGAGGGUUCACCAGAUCCUAAACAUGCGAGGAAGCUCCAUCAAAAUUGUCAGGCAUAUCAUCAAGGAGUAUGCAGAGAACAUCGGGGACGGCCGGAGCCCGGAGUUCCGGGAGAACGAGCAAAAGCGCAUCCUGGGCUUGCUGGAGAACUUCUAGAGGCACCUUGGCCCUGCGCAUCGUGGACUCAGCUUCCCUCCCAGCAUCAGUUUCUACACAACUCUGUGUGGCUUUUGGACAAAUUAAAGCUAGUUUUGGUACCCCCGGGCCA
rnacentral:sRNA from 1 species